UGCAAUUGUCUAAUUGAAAUUAUUUUUAAGUGACUUGAAUUAAAAUGGCAACUAAAAUUAUGCUUCAACAUAUACCAAAGCUCGAGAAACUAUCAUCUAGAGUUUUUAGAGUACUUGGUUGCAAUCCAUCUGAAAUGACUUUGCAAGGAACUAACACAUACCUUGUUGGAACUGGAAAAGUUAAAAUAUUAAUUGAUACUGGAAGUGAAAAUGUGCCAGAAUAUUUAUCAAUGUUAAAAGAAGCUUUGGAUGGUGGGGCAAUUCAAGAAAUUAUACUUACACAUUACCAUCAUGACCAUGUUGGUGGAACGCCUGGUGUUCUGAAACUAAUGCAAAAUUACAAGCUACCAUUACUGAAGUUUUUUCAUGAUUCGGAUAAAGAGUUUCAAAGAGCAAAUCCUAAUAUUACUUUUACACAUGUUAAAGAUAGACACAUAUUCUCUACAGAAGGAGCAACUCUUGAAGCAAUUUUUACACCUGGUCAUUCAUCAGACCAUAUGGCAUUGUUUUUAAAAGAAGAAAAUACACUGUUUACUGGAGAUUGCAUUUUAGGACAAGGAACAGCAGUUUUCACUGAUCUACAUGAUUAUAUGAGAUCACUUGAAAAACUUCUUUCAUUCAAAGCAGAUGUUAUUUAUCCAGGUCAUGGUCCUGUUAUUAGUAAUCCUCAGAACAAAAUUAAAGAGUACAUUGAUCAUCGGAAUAUGCGUGAAGCUCAGAUUUUUUCGGUCCUUAAAGAUAAAAAGUAUGGAGAGUAUAUAUCAUCAAUUCAAAUUGUUAAAGAAGUUUAUCCGGAGUUAUCACCUAUGCUUGAAAUGAUGGCUAAUGAAAAUGUGAAUCAUCAUUUAAAAAAACUUGAAAAAGAAAAUAAAGUUGGGACUUAACGCCGAAUACUAAAGAUUUGAACCCAAAUAUCUUUACAACUUGACGUGGAAACUUGGUGAAAAAUGUUGUUGACCUGUGUAAUUAUAUAUUUACUAAUGGCACUGGAUGGAUGGUAAAAGGAGUAUCGGCUUCUUUGUAAAACCACCGGUUAAUCGUUUUAUUGAGUUUUUUGAAUUUUUAUUUUUUUAAAUUAGUUUAUAAAAUGUUGUAAAAAAAAUAUAUAUAUAU